rnacentral:tRNA from 1 species
GAUUAGAGAGCUUACCUAAGCACUUGACUUUUAAUCAAGAGAUAAUUUUUAUAAUUUCUAAUCU